UACGGGGGGGGCAAGCGUUGUUCGGAAUUACUGGGCGUAAAGGGCUCGUAGGUGGCCAACUAAGUCGGACGUGAAAUCCCCGGGCUUAACCUGGGAACUGCAUUUGUGACUGCAUAGCUAGAGUACGGUAGAGGGGGAUGGAAUUCCGCGUGUAGCAGUGAAAUGCGUAGAUAUGCGGAGGAACACCGAUGGCGAAGGCGGUUCUCUGGGAU
rnacentral:rRNA from 1 species